rnacentral:rRNA from 1 species
GUAGGUGGCAAGCGUUGUCCGGGAAUUAUUGGGGCGUAAAGCGCGCGCAGGCGGUCCUUUAAGGUCUGAUGUGAAAGCCCACGGGCUCAACCGUGGAGGGUCAUUGGAGGCUGGGGGACUUGAGUACAGAAGAGGAAAGCGGAAUUCCACGUGUAGCGGUGAAAUGCGUAGAGAUGUGGAGGAACACCAGUGGCGAAGGCGGCUUUCUGGUCUGUAACUGACGCUGAGGCGCGAAAGCGUGGGGAGCAAACAGGAUUAGAUACCCUGGUAGUCCACGCCGUAAACGAUGAGUGCUAAGUGUUAGGGGGUUUCCGCCCCUUAGUGCUGCAGCUAACGCAUUAAGCACUCCGCCUGGGGAGUACGGCCGCAAAGGCUG